GACGAACGCUGGCGGCGUGCUUAACACAUGCAAGUCGAACGGAAAGGCCCUGCUUUUGUGGGGUGCUCGAGUGGCGAACGGGUGAGUAACACGUGAGUAACCUGCCCUUGACUUUGGGAUAACUUCAGGAAACUGGGGCUAAUACCGGAUAGGAGCUCCUGCUGCAUGGUGGGGGUUGGAAAGUUUCGGCGGUUGGGGAUGGACUCGCGGCUUAUCAGCUUGUUGGUGGGGUAGUGGCUUACCAAGGCUUUGACGGGUAGCCGGCCUGAGAGGGUGACCGGCCACAUUGGGACUGAGAUACGGCCCAGCCUCCUACGGGAGGCAGCAGUGGGGAAUAUUGCACAAUGGGCGGAAGCCUGAUGCAGCAACGCCGCGUGCGGGAUGACGGCCUUCGGGUUGUAACCCGCUUUCGCCUGUGACGAAGCGUGAGUGACGGUAACGGGUAAAGAAGCGCCGGCUAACUACGUG
rnacentral:rRNA from 1 species